UUGGGAUUGUAGCUGCAAAGGAUGGCAACUAAAUGGGUUGCCCUGCUGCCAUGCAAUUGCUGUCUUUGAAUGCAUUGGUAGGAAUCCAUAUGAUUAUUGCUCCAGAUACUUCACCAUCGAGAGUUACCGGUCAACCUAUGCCGAGUCGAUUCACCCUGUACCAAAUGUUGACAGGCCAAUUCAGGGUGAAUCAAGUGACGCGGGAGUUAUUGUUACUCCUCCACCAACUAAGCGCCCACCUGGCAGGCCGAAGAUGAAGCAGGCCGAAUCUAUCGACAUAAUUAAGCGUCAACUUCAGUGUAGUAAGUGCAAGGGCCUUGGCCAUAAUAAGAAGACAUGCAAAGGUUCAUAGCUUAGAUGAUUAGGCUUUGUAGGUAGGUAUCUAGUCGUCACUGAUAUCCUGCUUUGUAACUUUAAACAAUUUUGAUUGGCGGUGUAGGCUUGUGUUUCUGUGCAUGGAUGAUUUUUAGCAAGCAUCACACUCUGCAUACCUUGUUUAUGUAUUUUAGGUGCUAGGCUAAGCAUCCAAUUAGUUGUUAGUGAAACUAAUUGUUCAGCUAUGACAUUGCAAUUUUUAUUCGUGCG
rnacentral:misc_RNA from 1 species